AACUGAGUUUAGAAACUCUGCUCAGCUGCACUGCAGCCACCUGAUUUCUAGCUGCCACUCCCCCACUGCUAAAUGAGAUCCUAGCACUGCUGUAGGUGGGAUAAAAACAAAGUCACUUGCUCUCAGACUUGCUGCAAAAUUCUUUGUACAAAUACUAAUUUCUUGCUGAAUCCUUAAGCAAAUACAAAUUUAACACUUAGGUAAGCUGGCUGCAGGACUCCUGCCCAUCUGGCUUCACAGUGGCCCAGAUGAAAAGAAGAAAUGAAAAUCUUUUUACACAGAGGUGUGGAAAAAAUUGCCUUAUCAUGAUGCGCAUAAAACGAAACACUGGCAUGGGUGUAAGGGUUGCUGAAAAGAAAGGAAAAGAAAGGAAAAGAAAGGAAAAGAAAGGAAAAGAAAGGAAAAGAAAAGAAGGGAAGAGGAAAGAGCAGAGAAUUGAUCUUAUUCAUGAAUGGAAGAGGAGUCAUUCCAAGGAAACCACAGCAGAGAAGAAACUUUGGUGGUGACAAUGGAUGUUGUGGACAGUAGCUGGCAAGAAAUUAUCCUGGCUCUAGAACUGAAUUCUCCUUGGUGCAAAAUAUCCCAGUCUUUGUCAUUGAACUUAAAGCUAAUAUCCUAUUAAAAAUCAGGAUGCAGGUGCUGCUGCAUUCUGGGCUCCCACUGCUUCUGGAAUGGCCUACUUAUUUAAAUGACUGGACUUUGUGCACACACAAUAGACUGCUUCCUGGGAGUUGAGAGCUUUGUGAAAUUACAUUACAAAAUCAACAAUGACUGUGGCAGACCUUGAAUUUCUUGUAUGGUGGAACAAACAGAAUAGCACAAUAUUGUCUUUCAGGUGCACAUUUCAGAGAGAUUGACUAAGUGGGUGAACUUCUACAUUUAAGUCAAAAGAAGUAAGCCCUGGAAGAAAGUUAAAUCAUAGAAUCACAGAAAUCUUGAGUUGGAAGAAAUCCAUAAGGAUCAUUGAGUUCAGCUCCUUAUUCCUCAUGGGACUACCUAAAACUAAAUCAUGUAGGUAUGAGUGUCAUCCAGGUGUUCCUUGAACUCUGGUAGCUUGGUGCCAGGUCACUGCUUUAGCUCUGGUCUGCCUGCUGUUAUAAUUAAAGUUUAUUGUGUAAAUAACAGUUUAGUCCUAAUAUAAAAGAUGUCACUGCAGUGGACAAAGGAGUGUUUGCACUAGCUCACAUCCAAGCACAAGUGACUCAGGAUGAUUGGUUUGAUGUGGGUCAAGUGCUGCUGUGGAUAGGAAGCCUCAUCACUCUCUCUUUCUCUCUCAGGGUGCAGACCUGUUGUGCCCAGGAGGUGUUUGUUUCUCCAUAGCUUCUGUAGCAGAAUUUUCAGGAGCACUUCUGCACUGGCUGUCCCCUAUGACCACACCAGCCAGGUGGAGAGGAAUUUCUGAUCUUUUCUGGGCAAUAUAAUAAUGUUCCUGGACUGGUGGUCUGUGUCCCUCUCAGCAUGGUGUGGGAGAUGAAGGUCUGGUACACCUUGUGCCAGACAUAUCUUUGCCCUGCUGCAUUCCCAUAGCAAUGGCUUUAGCACCUGUGUGCAAGUCCCUGUGCCAUUCCUGGGCUGUGGCUCGUGUCCAGAGGUUUCCAUGUCCUCGCUAUGAUUCUGUGCUGAAGGCAGAGGAGGAAUUGCAUGUGCAUAAGCUGCUACAUGCCAAAAGUUAAUUGCCAAAUAAAAAGACACUGGCAGCAUGGGAAAUAGGGUGCACAAAUCUGUGGUUUACCCAAGGCACACAUGCGUGUGGCAAUCUGGACACAUUCCUGGUGGUCUGUGGCCAUUCCUUCAAAAAACUCAUGGCUACUGAACAAGGAAAUGUUGGCCAUCAGAACAGCUGAAGGUAGCCUGAAUCUCUCCAGAGCAGUGGGCAGAACAGCAGUGCUUCCUGAAUCUCUUCAAGCACAUGAGGAAGGAGGAGGUUAGGAUGAGAUUGAGGAUAAUUGUGCUUUUUAAUCUGGCACCCCUUUCACCGUCUCUUAUAUCAGCUGCCCUCUUUUCCACCCCAUUAACUGUAUGAGCAUACCCUUUUAUCAGCUUAAAGGCCUUAAAAUGCAGUAUUUCGUAUGUGGAUUAAGGACAAUAUGCAGCAUUAAGUAACCCAUGCUGAUGAAUUCCUCUUUGGGGUCAAGCUGUAGAGGAAUGCUGCGAGGUUGCAUGGCUUUUCUGUAUUGCUUACCAAAGUAACAGAUAAAUAGAUGCAAUCUGUCAAACCCCCAGUCAGAGUACUACAUUUAUGCCUGAAUACAGUAUUUACCCUAGAGUUUAAAUUAGUUUGCUUACAUUCAAUAUCAGAAACCAGAAUGCAUGUACUUGUAGUUUUAUAACCAAAUCCAUGACAAUAUAUUUUGUAUGAAAGGUUAAAUGACUUAAUAACAGCUUUCUCGGAACGUUUUUUCAUUUUGUGGAUGUUGGAAAAGAAGUCCAUUUUCUUUUUCCCCCAAGAUAGUGAAAAAGUACAUAAUUAUGUUCUCAGUUUAGCUAUGUAAAUGACCCUACUGAUAAAUGAAAAUUGAUAUUUCAAAGCCAUGGUUUAUAUAGCCUGAUGGCAUGUUAGCCCUUAUCACUGAAGACAGUACUUAACUCUGAAUAAUGCAUCAUGCUAACUCUCUGAAAUUGUUAUUAUGAGAUUUUAAUGCACCAUAAAACAUGUCUUAUGAUCUUCAGAAUGCUUAUGUGUCAGUCUUACACAUUAAUCUCACAUACGUCUUGAAAAACUGUAGUUUGGCAAAAACUGUCUUCACAUAUAGCACUUCUUGUAAAAUAUUUCAUACAUGGAUUUAUGUGUAAGUAUGGGAUUUGCAACAUCUGAGUAAAAGAAUUAUCUUUUCUGCACACAAAACACAGUAAAAUGAGAUCUGAGCCAUAACUGGGAAUUCUAGAUUCUGCGAAAAUAUUCUUAUUAAAUAAACAGUGUUGUUGACAUAGCAGACAUGAUACUGAGGGAGUGUGUGUGAAUAUAUUCUUGGGUUUGCAUUAUGUUUGAAUUAUUCAUGUCAUUCCUUUCUGAUCAGAAAUAUUCAUCUUAGUUUAGAUUAUGCUAUUUUAUUUUAUAUUUCUGAGGAAAAUGCAUUAGCUAAUCUUGAACUGGAGGAUGAUGGGCAAGAACAAGGACAGAGAAAUAAAUUCUUCUUGGUUCUGACUCUUGCAGCGUGGAAUUUAUGCACACUAUGGAAAAAAGUGAUUUGUGAACUGCUGUCUCCAGCCAGGUGGGCCAAGUUUGUACCUAUUCACACUUUUGUCCACUCAGCCACAGAGCUACUGUGGGCCUUAUGAGCACAGCUGCUGAAGGAGGAUAUACAGUCAAUCUGCUUUUCUCAAAACCAGAGCUAAACAAUAAGCAGUGUGCUGAGCCAAAGACGUUUGCUGACCAUCAGAGUCUGCUGGGGCAAAAUGGCAACUCCAUCAUACCACUUUUCUUCUUCUUUUUUUUUUUUUUUUUUUUUUUUUUUUUUUUUUUUUUUUUCUUUUUCUUUUUUUUUCUUUUUUUUUU